GUUUAUAUAAUUUAAUUUAAAAUAUUGGUCUUGUAAAUCAAUUAUAUGAUAAAUUUCAUUAUAAACU
rnacentral:tRNA from 1 species